rnacentral:lncRNA from 1 species
UUUUUUGCGCUUUUUGCUUUUUUUUAAGAAUAAGAGGAGAAAAAAAUUGACGAAACCGAUGAAAAGUGUUUUUGGUAUUUUGACUCGUUUCGGAUAUGAUUUUAGCUUCAAAAAUAACACUGAAUGGCCUGAAACUGAUACCAACUGAUGCGGAAUCCCGAAUCUAGACACAAGAGAAGCACAAAUUAGAAAUAAAAACGAGAAUAAAUAAAAUUAGUUAAAUAAUAAUAAUAAGAAAAAAAAAGAAUAGAUUUGCCCUAUGGAACCCUUGGUUAACUUGUAACCAAAAACGCCAAUGAUUGAGCGGCUCCCUAUGAAAUCCCUAGAAGAAGAACCUCUAGAAACACCGAUGAACGGGAAAGAAAUUUGAAUAUUUGUACUCCGACAUACCCUCGAAAGUAACAAACUCUAAAUUAAAUAGCAAGAGAAGAAUCACUUUACUCUCAAAAAUUUGCCUCACACAAAUUUGGAAGAAAAUAAAUACUCUUUUUUUUAUCCCCCUCAAUGUAUAGAAAGCAAGCCUAUUUAUAGGCAAAAUACAAGAGUAAUUGAACCCUAAUAAAACUCUUUAAAAUUAUCUAAGAAAAUAAUAACCUAACCAAUAAAAUUACUUAAAACUCAUAAGUGAUGUGUCCCAACCAAUGAGAAUUAAGUAAAUAAUAAUAAUAUACAUAAAAGAUUAAUCCACCAAUUUAUGGGCUUUCACUAUUCCAAGAUUGGUCCAGUGAAUUGCAUUCCCAUAUUUGUCAACGUCACGAACAUGAUGAAUUAAAUUUGUAGCAACAAAGUCUUGGACAAAAGCAUUCAUCUUUGAUUUUAAUUGUCGUGCCUUGCUUCGAGUGAUUGGACCACUAGGAAAAACAACCCAUUGAGUGUCACCUUCUUGGCUCGUAUCACAAUAGGUGCCCCAUAAAACCCCG